UAACAUUUUUAUUAUAGCUUGUGUUUUUAUUUAUGAAAUAGCCUAUCUUGUAUUUAUGACACUUGUGUGGCAGUAGCUAUAUUUUUCUCUGUAUGUUGGCUAUAGCCGUUUUUGUGCCUAAAGACAAAUUCCCCGUAGGUUCGGCUAUAUGAAAGCCUUAUAACAUUAUAUUAUUCUGAAAAGAAACUCAGCAUAACAUAUAGGCUAACUAACUCCACACAAUAAGGCUGUUUAAUAACUGUUCAUCUUGCCAAAAUGGUCGAUAACUGUAUAGUAGCUAAACACUAUCAGCUAUGCAGGAACCCACCUGUUAACAUACUGCAUCCUUCUUCACGUCUGACAGGAUUUACCGUUCCAAAUUUUCGUAAGUUUGGCAGAAAAUUCCGCAGAUUUUUCUUUGUUGUGCCGUUUUUGGGCACCGCUUUGAUAUUUUCGUUUCAUUUUCUAAGUGUCUCUGACAGCGGUGCUGUCACUGAGCUGUACUGAACUGAUUUGAAUUUCCCGCCUAAUGUAUUAAUUGGACCAAAAAUCCCUGACGUAUCAAACAAAGAAAACUAUGGACCAGUAAAGUUUUUAUUUUAUUUCAAAUAUUUGUUUUAUUUUUAUGUUCAAAAUACAGACAAUAUCAUGACCUGAACCCUACGUUGCGGUAGCCGGCAGGCUGUCAGUGAAGUCGUGAGCUGAUUGGUUGAGCCAAAGAAAAACAUCACGUGAUCUCAAAUUUGAACAGUGUCACUGAGUCAAUCUGGGCGCCAAACGAAUUUACUUCACUGCAGCCGUUUGGGAUUUAACAGCUGUUUGGAUUACUACAUUAUCUUUUUUUACUUUAAAGGAUUUUCUUUUUAAGAGUGCUCAUAUUCUUGUCUGUUUUUGCUCGGUGUAAAGUUGUCAGACGGUAUCAUAGAUGGACUUUCUGACAUCCUACAGCUUGCUAACUUCACCAGCUAACAUUUAACUGCAGAGUCCUCUGAAACAAAGGACACAACAAACUCGGAACAUUCAGAAACGAGCACUGGAAGAUACUAGAGACCACAAAGAGGUCUGUUCAACAGAUAUUUUUUGCAGUGUGGACAGUGCACUUCUUGCACUGUGGUGAGAAGUAACGUUAAAGUUAGCAUUAGUCUGGAGCAGCAGCAGCAACAGGAGGAGGCACGACAUCAGCAGCUGAUCACUGACGAGCACUCCUGCUGAUGCCAGAGUCCAGUCUCUCUCAUCAUCCCAGGUCUCACUGUGCAAGGAGAACCUGAACCUGAGAUCCUGUGUACAAACCAAAUGGAUGCUGCUGAUGGAGACCUGACUUCAUCACCACUUUGGCUGCCAUCUUCACAUCUUGCUAUAGGUUCACAGUUGAAUAUCAGGAGGAAACAAUGACAUCGCUGGAGUUCAAAAGAUGGAAUCAAAUCUAUCAGGAGAUACAGGAAAACACCUGAAAGCCGGACUCAAGACCUGCGCUGCACUUGAUUCACAUCGCUGUUCCACGUGUUGAAGGAAGUUAUCAGUCCAAUCAUCCAGAGGCAAAACACUAACCACUGGGACUGUAUCUCCAUUGGAGAACAACUGAUGAUGACACUGCGCUUCUUGGCAACAGGGGAAAGCUUCAGCAGUCUUUCUUACCAGUUACAAGUGGGAAUAUCAACAAUUCAGCAAUUUGUUCCUGAAUCCUGUACAGAAAUCUACCAGGUUUUCAAAGAGAAAUACUUGAGGGCUGUGAGGCCUCGUCUGAAGUGAAGGGAUGUGAAGGAGGAUGGGUUGAACUCACCUGCAAAUACCCAAGAGCAAAUCAGGAAUAUCAAAAGAUAGAGGUUAUUAAAC